rnacentral:tRNA from 1 species
AUUUGGAUAGUUUAAUGAGAAUAAGACUUUGAAGAGGUUGAGGUAGUUAAAAAACUUUCAGAUG